rnacentral:rRNA from 1 species
GACAGAGGGUGCAAACGUUGUUCGGAAUUACUGGGCGUAAAGCGAGUGUAGGCGGUGUGGUAAGUCGGAUGUGAAAGCCCCGGGCUCAACCCGGGAAGUGCACUCGAUACUGCCACGCUAGAGUAUCGGAGAGGUUGGUGGAAUUCUCGGUGUAGAGGUGAAAUUCGUAGAUAUCGAGAGGAACACCGGUGGCGAAGGCGGGUCUCUGGGCCGAUAUUGACGUGAGGAGCGAAAGCGUGGGGAGCGAACAGG